rnacentral:rRNA from 1 species
CCUACGGGGGGCUGCAGUUAGGAAUCUUCCACAAUGGGCGCAAGCCUGAUGGAGCGACGCCGCGUGAGGGAUGAAGGUUCUCGGAUCGUAAACCUCUGAACCAACGACGAAAGACCCGACAAGGGAGAUGACGGUAGUUGGGUAAUAGCACCGGCUAACUCCGUGCCAGCAGCCGCGGUAAUACGGAGGGUGCAAGCGUUACCCGGAAUCACUGGGCGUAAAGGGCGUGUAGGCGGUUACCUAAGUCCGAUUUUAAAGACCGAAGCUCAACUUCG